GGACGAUUGGUCUAGUGGUUAUGAUUCCUGCCUUCCAAGCAUGAGACAUGGGUUCGAUUCCCGUAUCGUUCA
rfam:Babjeviella inositovora NRRL Y-12698 unplaced genomic scaffold BABINscaffold_2, whole genome shotgun sequence.